AUUGAACGCUGGCGGCAGGCCUAACACAUGCAAGUCGAACGGUAGCACAGAGAGCUUGCUCUCGGGUGACGAGUGGCGGACGGGUGAGUAAUGUCUGGGAAACUGCCCGAUGGAGGGGGAUAACUACUGGAAACGGUAACUAAUACCGCAUAAUGUCGCAAGACCAGAGAGGGGGACCUUCGGGCCUCUUGCCGUCGGAUGUGCCCAGAUGGGAUUAGCUUGUUGGUGAGGUAAUGGCUCACCAAGGCGACGAUCCCUAGCUGGUCUGAGAGGAUGACCAGCCACACUGGAACUGAGACACGGUCCAGACUCCUACGGGAGGCAGCAGUGGGGAAUAUUGCACAAUGGGCGCAAGCCUGAUGCAGCCAUGCCGCGUGUGUGAAGAAGGCCUUCGGGUUGUAAAGCACUUUCAGCGGGGAGGAAGGCAAUGCGGUUAAUAACCGUGUUGAUUGACGUUACCCGCAGAAGAAGCACCGGCUAACUCCGUG
rnacentral:rRNA from 1 species